rnacentral:rRNA from 1 species
CCUACGGGGGGCAACAGUGGGGGAUAUUGCACAAUGGGGGGAACCCUGAUGCAGCGACGCCGCGUGGGUGAAGAAGCGCCUCGGCGCGUAAAGCCCUGUCAGCAGGGAAGAAAAUGACGGUACCUGAAGAAGAAGCCCCGGCUAACUACGUACCAGCAGCCGCGGUAAUACGUAGGGGGCAAGCGUUAUCCGGAUUUACUGGGGGUAAAGGGGGCGCAGACGGCGAUGCAAGCCAGGAGUGAAAGCCCGGGGCUCAACGCCGGGACUGCUCUUGGGACUGCGUGGCUGGAGUGCAGGAGGGGCAGGCGGAAUUCCUGGUGUAGCGGUGAAAUGCGUAGAUAUCAGGAAGAACACCGGUGGCGAAGGCGGCCUGCUGGGCUGCAACUGACGUUGAGGCCCGAAAGCGUGGGGAGCAAACAGGAUUAGAUACCCGGGUAGUC